UACGAAGGGGGCUAGCGUUGCUCGGAAUCACUGGGCGUAAAGCGCACGUAGGCGGCUUUCUAAGUCAGGGGUGAAAUCCUGGAGCUCAACUCCAGAACUGCCUUUGAUACUGGAGAGCUUGAGUCCGGAAGAGGUGAGUGGAACUCCGAGUGUAGAGGUGAAAUUCGUAGAUAUUCGGAAGAACACCAGUGGCGGAGGCGGCUCACUGGACUGGUAUUGACGCUGAGGUGCGAAAGCGUGGGGAGCAAACAGG
rnacentral:rRNA from 1 species